CCACACAGCCACUAUGUUUCAAA
rnacentral:miRNA from 1 species